UGGUCAUAACUCGUGGUGUGUUGCAGGCUUCACAAAAUGAGACUGUGGGUUUGGGGUUUUUUCCCCUGCUGCCAUUAAGCUAAUUCAUAAUAGCAGAUGUCAUCACUCCCAAAUAAAAAUGAGUGACGGAUGAAAAGAUUUCAUCAGUUAUUCCUGGCAGUUGGAGUUCUCUUGAAAAGGGGAACCCAGGGGUAAAACUGACAUGAUUCAGUAAUCACUCAAGAAAACCACACUUUGACAGAAGAGGAAGCUACUAUACAAUCAAAAAAAUGAACAAGCGUACGAACUCUAGACACCACAGGAUGGGUGGUCAUGAUGCGGAAGAGCUGAAGAACUUCUGGGAAAAGGUCAUCCAAGAGCAAACUAAGCAACAAGAAGCUGAAGAGUCUAGGCUAAGCAAAAGUGCCCUGAACAAACUUCGCCAGGAAUGGACUCUGCGGCUGGAAGGUCGAAUAAGGCAGGUCCAGGCACAUAUGAAAGCACGGCAAGAACAAAUGACACCACUGUCUAUCGAGGCUCUUCCCUCACCAGAUAAAACUGUUGCUUAAACUGUUGCUGUGCAAACACAACAAGCACUGGGACUGAUUCUGACCUGCAUCUAGAAGCCAGCAGUUAUGCUGCUGAACAACCAAAAGGUCAGAUUCUGCCCUUUUUCCAAACUAUUUACUAGAGCAACUAUUAAGGUCCUAUUGAAAUUCAGUGUAAGAAUAAUGCCACAGGGGAAAAAAAGCACAAAGGAAUAGAUGAGAAGCAGACAACUCUAAUUUUUCCAUGAUAUAUUAUUUCUGUGAUGCAUCAGGAUUCUCUUAUUUAACUGCAUUUCAAAGUGACAACAAGACGCGCCUAGGAAAGAGGGUGGCUUAUUUAAUAGGAAUAAUACAUUCAGACAGCUGCAUGCAAAAUUGCACAUUUCCAUUUACACAGUUCAGAGAGUCUGGCUUAAUGCACACAUAAGAGGUUCUGUCAUGAUGAGCCAUAGCAGAAGGAGUUAAGGAUUAGCCUGAUCAGCUGGCCACGACGAGAAACAUAUUCUUUAAUGAGGGGGGGAAAAAAAACAACUUUCCUGAUCAACAUUUAAGAACAUUUACAGAUCUUAAUAAUUAAAUAAAUACAAAAAAUUACUUUAACUUUCUUGGGGAAUGUCAGAAAAAGUCUACUGAGCCAGUAGUCUUCAUUGCGAGCCAGUCUGACAAAUGGUAGAAUAGUAAGAGCAAGUCAGUGUGAUAGUUUGAAAUAGAAGGCAGAGAGCCAUAACAGCAAGGAAAUGCUGUGCAAAGUAUCACUUGCCAUACCUGACAUGCACUAAUCCAAACAACUUCUGCAUCUUCUUCUGGGUUAGGUGAAACAAAGGUAGAAUAACAAAACACAGGGUAGUAACAGUGUGCCCUAUUUACCCCUAUGUCUGUGUAUCUAAAUACUGGUCUUCUGGAUUAAAACAUUUGUUUGUUUUCUCUGCAAAUAAACUUUGGAACACAAGAGAAGACUCAUAAGUCUAAACAGCUAUUUUUGUCUAAGAGUAUUGUGCCAGACAAAAAUUUAGUUUGAAUCUACAUUGAUGCCAAAGUAGUAGGUAGAAAAACAUUUGAUAUUUCAAAACAACAAAAAUUAAAUAAUUUUGACCUCACAGAAAUGCUUUUUUAAUCCUUUUAAAAUAAUAUUUCAUUAAACACAAAAUUUUACUGAAUGUUCUCACUCUUACAAAGUGAAAUUUUGCCACAGGAAAAAAAAAAAAAAAGCUGUGAUAAAAAUGUUGGUAUUCCAUGCAGGAUUAAAACAAUUAAAAGGGAUUUUAGUAUCAGGUUUCAUUCAUAAAAACUGACCCAAAA